rnacentral:rRNA from 1 species
AGUGAACGCUGGCGGUAGGCCUAACACAUGCAAGUCGAACGGCAGCACAGUAAGAGCUUGCUCUUACGGGUGGCGAGUGGCGGACGGGUGAGGAAUACAUCGGAAUCUACUUUUUCGUGGGGGACAACGUAGGGAAACUUACGCUAAUACCGCAUACGACCUACGGGUGAAAGCAGGGGAUCUUCGGACCUUGCGCGAUUGAAUGAGCCGAUGUCGGAUUAGCUAGUUGGCGGGGUAAAGGCCCACCAAGGCGACGAUCCGUAGCUGGUCUGAGAGGAUGAUCAGCCACACUGGAACUGAGACACGGUCCAGACUCCUACGGGAGGCAGCAGUGGGGAAUAUUGGACAAUGGGCGCAAGCCUGAUCCAGCCAUACCGCGUGGGUGAAGAAGGCCUUCGGGUUGUAAAGCCCUUUUGUUGGGAAAGAAAAGCAGCGGGUUAAUACCCCGCUGUUCUGACGGUACCCAAAGAAUAAGCACCGGCUAACUUCGUG